rnacentral:rRNA from 1 species
CAGUCGCCGCGGGAAUACGAAGGGUGCAAGCGUUAAUCGGAAUUACUGGGCGUAAAGCGUGCGUAGGCGGUUUGUUAAGUCUGCUGUGAAAUCCCCGGGCUCAACCUGGGAAUGGCAGUGGAUACUGGCACGCUAGAGUGUGUCAGAGGAUGGUGGAAUUCCCGGUGUAGCGGUGAAAUGCGUAGAGAUCGGGAGGAACAUCAGUGGCGAAGGCGGCCAUCUGGGACAACACUGACGCUGAGGCACGAAAGCGUGGGGAGCAAACAGGAUUAGAUACCCCAGUAGUCCCUGUCUCUUAUAA